UACGUAGGGUGCGAGCGUUGUCCGGAAUUAUUGGGCGUAAAGGGCUCGUAGGCGGUUUGUCGCGUCGGGAGUGAAAACUCAGGGCUUAACCCUGAGCCUGCUUCCGAUACGGGCAGACUAGAGGUAUGCAGGGGAGAACGGAAUUCCUGGUGUAGCGGUGAAAUGCGCAGAUAUCAGAAGGAACACCGGUGGCGAAGGCGGGUCUCUGGGCCGAUACUGACGCUGAAGAGCGAAAGCGUGGGGAGCAAACAGG
rnacentral:rRNA from 1 species